AGAGUUUGAUCCUGGCUCAGGACGAACGCUGGCGGGUUAACACAUGCAAGUCGAGCGGAAAGGCCCUUCGGGGUACUCGAGCGGCGAACGGGUGAGUAACACGUGAGUAACCUGCCCUGGACUUUGGGAUAACCCUCGGAAACGGGGGCUAAUACCGGAUAUGACACGCUACCGCAUGGUAUGUGUGUGGAAAGUUUUUCGGUCUGGGAUGGGCUCGCGGCCUAUCAGCUUGUUGGUGGGGUGAUGGCCUACCAAGGCGACGACGGGUAGCCGGCCUGAGAGGGCGACCGGCCACACUGGGACUGAGACACGGCCCAGACUCCUACGGGAGGCAGCAGUGGGGAAUAUUGCACAAUGGGCGGAAGCCUGAUGCAGCGACGCCGCGUGAGGGAUGACGGCCUUCGGGUUGUAAACCUCUUUCAGCAGGGACGAAGCGCAAGUGACGGUACCUGCAGAAGAAGCGCCGGCCAACUACGUGCCAGCAGCCGCGGUAAGACGUAGGGCGCGAGCGUUGUCCGGAUUUAUUGGGCGUAAAGAGCUCGUAGGCGGCUUGUCGCGUCGACCGUGAAAACUUGGGGCUCAACCCCAAGCCUGCGGUCGAUACGGGCAGGCUAGAGUUCGGUAGGGGAGACUGGAAUUCCUGGUGUAGCGGUGAAAUGCGCAGAUAUCAGGAGGAACACCGGUGGCGAAGGCGGGUCUCUGGGCCGAUACUGACGCUGAGGAGCGAAAGCGUGGGGAGCGAACAGGAUUAGAUACCCUAGUAGUCC
rnacentral:rRNA from 1 species